rnacentral:lncRNA from 1 species
CCUUUGGGAAUCUGUUCAAUUGGCUUGUGUAUUAGAAGUCACUGGGGUAUGUGGUGGGAGGGGCAGCAUAUACUCAGUCAUGGUACUCAUUUCAGUGCUGGGGUGGAAAUGUUGUUUUUCUCAGGCUUAGGGGUGACUGUAGUAUCUACAACAGAGAUUAUCAAGUGUCAGGUUUCAUUGAUCAAGGCCGAUGUUAUGUUUAUUUUUUAUGUUUAUGCUCCUAAUGAGGGUACAGAGCAUAUUGCUGUAUUUGAUCAAAUAAAGGAAAUCUUAAGACAGUGGGACCAAGAGGGGUGUAUGGUUUUAGAGGGGGACUGGAACUGUACAGUGGGUUUCACUGAUCGCACUGCUGAAGAACCUCACCUCAUCUAAUAACCGAGUUUCAGCUUUCUGAUGUGUGGAGAGUCAGGAAUGCAAAAGUUAGGCUGUACACAUGGCUAAAAGUUAAUGAAGGUGGUGUCAGUGCAGCAACGUUAGACAGGUUGUAUGUAUCUGAUCACUACUGUAGUAGGGUUGGAAGGUUAGACAGGUUGUAUGUAUCUGAUCACUACUGUAAUAGGGUUGGAAGGUUAGACAGGUUGUAUGUAUCUGAUCACUACUGUAGUAGGGUUGGAAGGUUAGACAGGUUGUAUGUAUCUGAUCACUACUGUAGUAGGGUUGGAAGGUUAGACAGGUUGUAUGUAUCUGAUCACUACUGUAAUAGGGUUGGAAGGUUAGACAGGUUGUAUGUAUCUGAUCACUACUGUAGUAGGGUUGGAAGGUUAGACAGGUUGUAUGUAUCUGAUCUCUACUGUACUAGGGUUGGAAGGUUAGACAGGUUGUAUGUAUCUGAUCACUACUGUAGUAGGGUUGGAAGGUUAGACAGGUGGUAUGUAUCUGAUCUCUACUGUAGUAGGGUUGGAAGGUUAGACAGGUUGUAUGUAUCUGAUCUCUACUGUAGUAGGGUUGGAAGGUUAGACAGGUUGUAUGUAUCUGAUCUCUACUGUAGUAGGG